rnacentral:rRNA from 1 species
UGGUAUCCGACUAUCACUCAUCACCCUGUGACAUACCUAUAACGUUGCCUCGGCGGGAACAGACGGCCCCGUAACACGGGCCGCCCCCGCCAGAGGACCCCCUAACUCUGUUUCUAUAAUGUUUCUUCUGAGUAAACAAGCAAAUAAAUUAAAACUUUCAACAACGGAUCUCUUGGCUCUGGCAUCGAUGAAGAACGCAGCGAAAUGCGAUAAGUAAUGUGAAUUGCAGAAUUCAGUGAAUCAUCGAAUCUUUGAACGCACAUUGCGCCCGCCAGUAUUCUGGCGGGCAUGCCUGUUCGAGCGUCAUUACAACCCUCAGGCCCCCGGGCCUGGCGUUGGGGAUCGGCGGAAGCCCCCUGCGGGCACAACGCCGUCCCCCAAAUACAGUGGCGGUCCCGCCGCAGCUUCCAUUGCGUAGUAGCUAACACCUCGCAACUGGAGAGCGGCGCGGCCACGCCGUAAAACACCCAACUUCUGAAUGUUGACCUCGAAUCAGGUAGGAAUACCCGCUGAACUUAAGCAUAUCAAAGCGCCGAAGGAAAAUUGGGCGUUUUAUGCGAACCCCCCGUUAAAUGGAGAUUAUCUGAGGCUCUUGGACAUCAACGCCGUUAAAGGGGCGUCCUGACAAAGCCGCUUAAUAUCUUUUUCUUCGUUUUCCUCCCGCCCAAAAGUUCAGAUUACCUACAAUUUAAGGAGAAGUCAUUGUGCUUGUUUCCCUUA